UACUCUCCAGGAUCCUCACAGCUAAAU
rnacentral:piRNA from 1 species